rnacentral:lncRNA from 1 species
UCAAAAAAUGUUAUCAAAAUAUGAUUGUCCUUUAUAAAAUUUGUGCAUAGAAGCCGUGUUACAUGGUAGAAGAGGUAGUUUGGGAGCAAUGGAUGUUCCAACCAAAUGCAUGCAUUGAAGUUGAAAAUGACAAGGCCAACAACCAAUUUGACAGAGUCAUCCUUAAUUAUCGGUGGAGAUGAAAAAGGACAAGAAACAGUUUUUCAUUUUUGGUCUGAUCAUAUGAUAAACACUAUAUAGUGUGUGUGAGAGACAAACACACGUUAAGAGAUUAGAAACCAAUCUCGACCACAUCAAGCAUCUACGUUUCAUGUGGCAACACCGUCGUUUUCCUCGUUGCUUGUUUCCUCCGAAAAACCAACACCUUUGCAUAGUACUCCCACUCAACGGAUUAUUGCUACCAUUCAAUCCAUAGAUUAAUUCUAGGUUCAUUCAAACCAUAACCAGGCACCGCCUUCAAAAAUUAAAGCUUUUUGUAUGUAGAGUUUUUUCUUUUUUCUUUUCUAUGCUAGGUUGAUGAGAAAAACAAAGAGUGCGAGAUCAAUCCAAAAUUUAACGACUGAGUUCUUUGUAACUUUUUUAUUAUUUGUUAUUAUACUUAUAGGACAAGAGUAAAUGUAUAUAUAAUAAUUUCUUUUUUAUAUAAUGAUACAUUAUAUUAUGGUGGUAA